UCCCUGGUGGUCCAGAGGUUGAGACUGUGCUCUGAAUGCAGAGGGUCCAGGUUCAAUCCCUGGUCAGGGAU
rfam:Ovis aries breed Texel chromosome 7, whole genome shotgun sequence.